CCUUGUAUAAGUAUUAUUAUGUCAUCUCAUGUGUCACCUGUUUGAAUAACCUGAUUUGGUGGGGCUCUUUUUGUCAGGUUGUUAUCAAUCAUGGUUCACUCCAAUGCCUUUUGAGCCUGUUGACCCAUGAUCACAACAAAAGUAUUAAGCAAGAAGCUUGCAGGACUGUAUCAAACAUUACAGCUGGUAACAGAGAGCAGAUACAGGUAAACAAAUAAUUCCCAUCUUUUUUAUACUCAAAUGACGUUAAAUAUCAAUGUUAAUGAAGUGCAGUGAACUUUACCUUUUAUUUAUGUACGAUGCAGGCUGUUAUUGAAGCUGGUCUCAUUGCUCCCCUGGUCGAUCUUCUUCAAUUUCAGCAGAAUGUGAUCAUUGUAUCUUGUACAAAAAAUAUAUUUUGCUGGGGAGAAGGUAUGUUGCAGAAGCAAGGAACCG
rnacentral:lncRNA from 1 species